rnacentral:tRNA from 2 species
AAACUUGUAGCUCACCCGUAGAGCGUCUUGGCCUACGAAGCCAAAUGAGGAAAAUGGUUCAAUUCCAUUCAGGUUUC